rnacentral:rRNA from 1 species
UAGGGAAUCUUCGGCAAUGGACGGAAGUCUGACCGAGCAACGCCGCGUGAGUGAAGAAGGUUUUCGGAUCGUAAAGCUCUGUUGUAAGAGAAGAACGAGUGUGAGAGUGGAAAGUUCACACUGUGACGGUAUCUUACCAGAAAGGGACGGCUAACUACGUGCCAGCAGCCGCGGUAAUACGUAGGUCCCGAGCGUUGUCCGGAUUUAUUGGGCGUAAAGCGAGCGCAGGCGGUUAGAUAAGUCUGAAGUUAAAGGCUGUGGCUUAACCAUAGUAGGCUUUGGAAACUGUUUAACUUGAGUGCAAGAGGGGAGAGUGGAAUUCCAUGUGUAGCGGUGAAAUGCGUAGAUAUAUGGAGGAACACCGGUGGCGAAAGCGGCUCUCUGGCUUGUAACUGACGCUGAGGCUCGAAGGCGUGGGGAGCAAACAGGAUUAGAUACCCUGGUAGUCCACGCUGUAAACGAUGAGUGCUAGGUGUUAGACCCUUUCCGGGGUUUAGUGCCGUAGCUAACGCAUUAAGCACUCCGCCUGGGGAGUACGACCGCAAGGUUG